rnacentral:rRNA from 1 species
UACAGAGGGUGCGAACGUUGCUCGGAAUCACUGGGCGUAAAGCGCGUGUAGGCGGGCGAUCAAGUCAGGCGUGAAAUCCCCGGGCUCAACCCGGGAACUGCGUCUGAAACUGGUUGCCUUGAGUGUCGGAGAGGGAAGCGGAAUUCCUGGUGUAGAGGUGAAAUUCGUAGAUAUCAGGAGGAACACCGGUGGCGAAGGCGGCUUCCUGGACGACUACUGACGCUGAGACGCGAAAGCGUGGGGAGCAAACAGGAUUAGAAACCCUCGUAGUCC